UACGUAGGUGGCAAGCGUUAUCCGGAUUUACUGGGUGUAAAGGGCGUGUAGGCGGGACUGCAAGUCAGAUGUGAAAUUCCAGGGCUCAACCCUGGAACUGCAUUUGAAACUGUAGUUCUUGAGUGAUGGAGAGGCAGGCGGAAUUCCGUGUGUAGCGGUGAAAUGCGUAGAUAUACGGAGGAACACCAGUGGCGAAGGCGGCUUACUGGACUGUAACUGACGUUGAGGCCCGAAGGCGUGGGUAUCGAACAGG
rnacentral:rRNA from 1 species